rnacentral:lncRNA from 1 species
CCACUACUCUUCUUCCCCAUUGUCAUUCUAGAAAUGAUAUUAUUAGUAUGUCUAAUAAGUUCAUGUCUCAUUUCAAUAGGUUUACCAUUUUUCGAUAUCUCCAAAAGGUUCCUCAAAAAACACUCAACUUCAUCCUCGCGAAUACUCACAAAGUGCUCAAGAGUUUUUCCACUAAGAAGCUCAGUCAUGCAAAGCUUCUUGAGAAACCUCCAAUAAUUUCCAUAAGGUAUGAAAAAAUAAUCAGCAGCACCAUAGGUUAAACUCUCGCUCGCAAUCAUAAUAGGCCGAUUGCAAAACGAUUCUUCGCAAGUUUUUAGAAUUUGCUUCGCACUU